rnacentral:rRNA from 1 species
CGACUAAGCGUACACGGUGGAUGCCCUGGCAGUCAGAGGCGAUGAAGGACGUGCUAAUCUGCGAAAAGCGUCGGUAAGGUGAUAUGAACCGUUACAGCCGGCGAUGUCCGAAUGGGGAAACCCAGUGUGAUUCGUCACACUAUCGUUAACUGAAUACAUAGGUUAACGAGGCGAACCGGGGGAACUGAAACAUCUAAGUACCCCGAGGAAAAGAAAUCAACCGA